AGCAGGGCCACUCCCCGGGCCAGUCUGGCUCCAGGCAGGCGCAGAGUGGACACACGGACUCUGGGCACCCAGGAACAGGGGCCUGGGGACAAGGCCGCGGCCCUGCCCCUCAGCGUGGGCUGGAGCAGAGGCGGGAAGCGUUGGGCCUCAAUCCCUGAGGUGUCGGGGGCUUCCCCCGUUCCUGCCCAGAGUCUGGCCCAGAAUGUGGUGGCGGGGGGGGGCCGUGGAGCUGCGCCUCUGGCCAAGCCCCUCCGAGGCCUCGGGCAGCCCCCAGGUGCCCUGCCGGACCCACUCACUGUGUGUCUGGCCCGGAGAGGGGUCAGCGCCCCCACAGAUGCUGAACCAAGCGGCCCAGAGUGGGCUCAGCCCACCCCCCGCAGGCCUGGCGGUCACCAGGGCUCUGCCUCGGAAAGAACAAGCACAGCGUUGCAGGGUCCCAGGGCGGCCUGGGUGCUUUAUUCAUGGCGGCCCAGGAGGCAUGCACACAGGGAGGGGCUAGGGCGUCCUGGCUGGACCUGGAGCCCGGGGAGGGCGGGCUGGGGGGGGGGGUGGUGGGGGGGUGGGGCACACNNNNNNNNNNNNNNNNNNNNNNNNNNNNNNNNNNNNNNNNNNNNNNNNNNNNNNNNNNNNNNNNNNNNNNNNNNNNNNNNNNNNNNNNNNNNNNNNNNNNUCCUGGACCGGCAUGCAGCGUGUGGACAUGUGUCCGGGGCCAGCAGGGCAGCUGUUAGGCUUCCAGAGCCCUGGGGCCCCCGACACGGAGCGGCCGAGUCCUUGCUGCCCGGCACCUCUGGGGCUGCCCCUCCACUUCCUGCCCUGUGUUCUGGCCGCUCAGAUGGAGCCCUGGGACCAUGUGACUCACCACCAGUGUCCAGGCUGCAGCUGCCAUUGAGGAGCGUCCGGGAGGCCUCGUGGCUGACCACACAGGUGUAGGUGGACCCCACAUGGUCCAGGGGGCUGGAGACAUGUAGGACACUCCAGGUGUGGAAUGAGGCAUGCCCAGACUGGGCUGUGGUGUGCGCUGUGGCAAACUGGGAAGGCUCCACUUCUUGCUGGCCCUCCAGCCAUGUGAGGAGGAUGUCCACGGGUGAGAAGCCGGACACCUCGCACAGGAGCCAGGCAGGGGAGAAGGGGCCAGGCGUGGUCAGAGUGCGGAGGGUCAGAUUGCCGGGCACUGAGGCAGCUGUGGGGAGAAGCCAUGGUAUGCUCGUGAGCUGGAGCUCCAGGGGGUGGGUCCCCGGGGGAAGGAGGUGGUCCGGGUGCUGCGGGGCCCGCGGCUGCCCUCACCAUGCUCUCUCUGUGCCGUCAGGGACACUGGUGACCGCAGGCCAGGGCCGCUCAGUGUGCAGGUGACGUUGGAGCCCGAGGCCCACAGGGACCUGGGCAGGGCCAGGCGGCUGCUGUGGCUCCAGGAGCCGUUCAUGUGCGAGGUGGGUCUCUCCUCCACCCCCGCCAUGGGGCUGCCCGUUCACCUCCCAGGAGAAGUGGGCAUCCAGCAGGGCCUCCCCUGUGGCCAGGCAGGUGAACUCUGCCUUGUCCAAAAGACACUCUGUGGGGAGGCGAGGAGAGGUGUUGUCUUGGCUGGGGGGCAGGGGGGUUGAGGGCUGGCCAGUGGCACCCACCCAGCCCCAGGCCCGCCCUCUCCCGAUAGACCCCUGGACUCUGUUGCUUCCAGCAGUGCAGAGGGCAGGGGUCCGCCCACCACUGGCCUGGGGUCUCUCUCGCAAGCAGGCUGUUUCCGGUGCCCCUGAAAGCACUCUGCCCUUCUCCCCCUCUGUCCCAAGGGACUGACCUCUGCAGGGGUCCUUUGGACACGCUAGUGUCGGGGCUUCUGUCUGGCUGUGGCUGGUGGCCGGCACUGUGAAGAGCGGGGGGAGUCAGGGUCUCCUCCAGGUGCCACAGACAGCCGGGGCUGAGGCCUCCCAACAUCCUCAGCCCUAGGGGUGGCCGUCGCCUGGGGGUCGCCUCUGUCAGCGUCUGCGGCUCUGCUCUGGUCAUGGUGGGACCCUGGCUGCCUGCUUGCUGGUUGCGAGUCUCUACGCUAAGUGCCUGGGGGCCGCCCUCGUGACCAUCGGCAGCACAGCUUAUGGCGAGAAGGACUCGUGAGCCACUGGCCAUGGGUCUCUGACAGCCAGGGGUCAGCAACUUUUUCUAUAAAGGCCCAGAGAGCAGAUGUUUGAAGCUGUGCUGCCACCACACAGGGCUUCUGUCUGUCCCUCCUCCCGGUUCAUCCCUCUAAGCUGGACAGGCCAGCCCCGGCUGCAGAGCUGGACAGGCAGCCCCGGCUGCAGAGCUGGACAGGCAGCCCCGGCUGCAGGGAUCUGGCUUCACGAUGCAUCUGGCCUCCAGGCUGUGCUCAAGCUGCACUGUGUCUGGGUCAGGAGCCACGCCCUGAGGGGAGGGCUGGGCUCAUGUGGUCAGCAGGCCCUGGGCCCCAGAGCAGGAGGGCUCAGCCUGUGCUCAUGGAGCUCGGCCGCCUUCCUCAAGGCUGCUGGGCGGGUGGCGUGGCUGCAGCAGUCUGGUCAGGGCUGAAGGCUGAUGCUCGGGGAGGGCUGGGCUGUGCACAGUACCCCCGACCCCGAGGUGACCCUCUGAUCUGCAGGGCCCACCUCUCUCCUGACUUGCCCCGCCCUGUGUGCCUGACCAGGUCAGCCCACACCCAGGGGUCGUGCACAUCGGUGGCAGAUUCUGCCCUAGACUGUGGGCCUCAUGGCCCACAGGCUGGGUUGGGGG
rnacentral:lncRNA from 1 species